rnacentral:pre_miRNA from 1 species
AAAAAGGGCAAACCCUGAGUUUUCGUGUCUAACUUUGACUGUCCGUCUUAUAUGAAAUUUUUUUAUAAUUUAUAUUUUUAUUAUUGUUAGAUGAUCAAACAUGAUUAAUAUUUUAUGCGUGACUUGUUUUUUUAAUUUUUUCCAUAAUUUUUUAAAAUAAGACGGACGGUCAAACGUUAGGCACGGAAACCAGGGUUUGUCUUUUU